GCUGCUGUGCUCUUAGGAGCACGGAGGCCUCCGUGCUCCUGAGCCGUUUUCGAUGAUGGAGUUCCGAAUCGACGAUCGGCUCCGUUAAACUUGAUCUAGCGUAUUUGAAGCUUCUUGAAAAUAAUUUUUGCGAUUUUUUGAUAUCAUUUACCUAGUGAUCGAAAGGAUUCAAAAUCCAUAAUUUUUAAUGGUUGAUAUCUGCCGUUUUCAAGUUUAACGGUGUAAAAGUAUUCAAAUCAGAAGAAAUUUUGAUACAAAAUUCUUUAUACUAUCUACAACAAGAUCAAUAUUUCCGAUCGAAAAUUUUAGUGCUAUAUCACCACUUUUUAUAGGAUUUUUAUUUUCAGCCGUUAAAAAUUAUUGAUUUUGAAUCAUUUCGAUUGCUAGGUAAAUGAUAUCGAAAAAUAGCAAAAAUUAUUUUCUAGAAGCUUCAAAUACGCUAGAUCAAGUUUAACGAAACCGAUCGUCGAUUCGGAAACUCCAUCAUCGAAAACGGUUCAGGAGCACGGAGGCCUCUGUGCUCCUGAGAGCACAGCAGCCC
rnacentral:lncRNA from 1 species